CUAAGUUUGUUUACUGGAUAUACUGAGCUGGAUAUACUGAGGUGUAGGGAAUGCAACUAUUGAUUGCUUCGUAUUUAUACAUAAGUUUUUCUAGAUUUUUGUGGAUCUAUGUAUAAACGAACGGAUAUUCACAAAGAGCAAGAUGCCGGAAAACAUCCAAAGUAAAGUCUGAUGCUGUGAGUAUAUACGUAUGUAGAUCAACAAAAUUAACGCUUCCACAUCAUCGCCUAUUGCAUUUCCAAGGAUUUUGACAAAAUUUUUACUGAGAGUCGCAACUCAAAAUAAUACGUUCGUCAGAAAAUGCGAAAAACUUUCGUACCACAUGCUAAGGCAAAGGCGACUUUACCUUGGGAUGGGGUAGGGGGUGUAGUCAUCCAAACCCUCCUUAAACGAAAGAGGAUGGACGUCGGUUUAUGGAAAGUCACCUCUCACCCCCCUACAGACCCCGUGAGAGCUGUUUGAAAAUAUGGGAAAUUAGUAUUUUUUGCAAAAGGAUUAUAACCCUCGCUAAGUAGAAUUAUACUUUCUGUGUUGCCGAAGAAGAGGGGCUGAACACCUAUUGCAGAGGGCACAGAUAUACACCCGUAUGCUGCAAUCCGUCGUAGAUUCGAUUUUGCUACGAAUCGUAAAAUUGGUAUGCUGAAAGCCCCGUUGGGUAGUAGUGCACUUUAGCGAAACCAGGUCAAAAUGGACGGAAACAGUUCGAGAGUGCUAUCAAUCGACGCGUCUUAACGCCAAUAAUAACAAUCGGAGACCGGAAAUUCUCAUUUUGAAUUCAUUAAAGAGUUAUUUGCAAAAAACACUUGUACUUUCCGAACUCAAUUUUACACAUAUUUAUUAGUUUUUAUGCAUUUGUGAUGUUUUAAGUGUACACUUUCGCGAAAUUCUGUAUUUAAUAGCAAUAUUCCGAUGGUGAAAAUCCGCACAACAAUCUUGUGUACCCUACAAGAACACUACGCGUUAUAUAACCAAUCAUGUAACGCAGAGCUGUAACGUAAAUGCAUGUUAUACUCCCAUAGAAUGUUUACGUUAAUUUCCUAAGGGCGAUAUGAAAAAUCUAACAGGAUGUUUCCUGUACGUGUGAUUUCUCGUCUCUUCCUAACGCAGGUAUAACCAAAUUAUGUGAAGCGUAUACCUGUGCUCUUUACUCCCAUUAUAAAUGUUGAAGAAACAUGUUAUGUAUAACUAGUUAAGCGUAACGUAUGGAAAUAUUAUGUGUAACGAGUUAGGCAUAACGUGGAAGCUUGUUAUGAGUGACUAGUUAAGCCUAACGUAAGAAAACGUUAUUUGUAACUAGUGAAGCCUAACGAAAGAAAAUGUUAUGUGUAACGAGUUAUGUAUAACGUGAAAGCACGUUAUGUGUGACUAGUUAAGCAUAACGUAAAGAAACGUUAUUUGUAACUAUUGAAGCCUAACGAAAGAAAAUGUUAUGCAUAACGAGUUAGGUAUAACGUGAAAACAUGUUAUGUGGAACUAGUUAGUCAUAACGCACACAUUAGUUACACAUAACUGCCAUACAAGAAAUUAUAAUUUAUAAACUUAUAAACUUUCGAGUUUUGUAAUAAAUAUUACAAAUCAUUUUAUUAUAUUUUUGUUUAAUUUGAACACAAAGGUAUGUAGAUUCUUAUACCAUAUUAAAUUAAGAUUUAUGUAUGUAGAUACACUUAACAGCAAAUGUCUGCAUACACCAUUACUUUUUUAAAUU